AAGUCGUAACAAGGUUUCCGUAGGUGAACCUGCGGAAGGAUCAUUAUUGAAUAUUCUUGAUGGGUUGUAGCUGGCUCUUCGGAGUAUGUGCACGCCUGUCUUGACUCUAUUCAUCCACCUGUGCACAUUUUGUAGUCUUGGGGGUUGAGAACAGUCAACUAUCGGACGGCUAUUAUGGCCUUUCGGACGUGAGAAUUGCUGAGUGCGAAAGCAUACAGCUAUUCUUAAAAUGACUUGUAACCUCUCCUUCGAGCACUAUGUUUUCAUACACCACAUAGUAUGUUGUAGAAUGUGAUCAAUGGGCCUACGUGCCUAUAAUAAUCAUAUACAACUUUCAGCAACGGAUCUCUUGGCUCUC
rnacentral:misc_RNA from 1 species